rfam:Gilliamella apicola SCGC AB-598-I20 SCG598I20_12761, whole genome shotgun sequence.
ACCGCUCAAUUUUCAUGUUCCUUGCUUUCAAUGGGUUGCGGUUGCCCCGACAGAAAGCUGAUUAAUCCGUAGGGAGCGAUAAUG